rnacentral:rRNA from 1 species
GACGAACGCUGGCGGCGUGCUUAACACAUGCAAGUCGAACGGAAAGGCCUCUUUCGGGGGGUACUCGAGUGGCGAACGGGUGAGUAACACGUGAGUAACCUGCCCUUGACUUUGGGAUAACUUCAGGAAACUGGGGCUAAUACCGGAUAGGAGCUCCUGCUGCAUGGUGGGGGUUGGAAAGUUUCGGCGGUUGGGGAUGGACUCGCGGCUUAUCAGCUUGUUGGUGGAGUAGUGGCUUACCAAGGCUUUGACGGGUAGCCGGCCUGAGAGGGUGACCGGCCACAUUGGGACUGAGAUACGGCCCAGACUCCUACGGGAGGCAGCAGUGGGGAAUAUUGCACAAUGGGUGGAAGCCUGAUGCAGCAACGCCGUGUGCGGGAUGACGGCCUUCGGGUUGUAAACCGCUUUCGCUCAUGACGAAGCUUUGUGUGACGGUAGUGGGUAAAGAAGCACCGGCUAACUACGUG